rnacentral:rRNA from 1 species
GACGAACGCUGGCGGCAUGCUUAACACAUGCAAGUCGAACGGAACGGCCCUGCUUUUUUGGGCUCCUCGACUGACGACCGGGUGACUAACCCGUGAGUUACCUGUACUUGACUGUGGGAUAACUUCAGGAAGCUGAGUCUAAUACCGCAUAGGAGCUCCUGCUGCAUGGUGGGGGCGGGAAAGAUUCGGUGGUUGGGGCGGGAAUCGCGGCCUAUCAGCUUGUUGGAGGGGUAGUGGCUUACCAAGGCUUGGACAGGUAGCCGGGCUGAGAGGGUGAGCGGCUACAUUGGGAUGGAAAUACGACCCAGACUCGUACGGGAGGCAGCGGAGCGGAAUAGUGCAUAAUGGGCUGAGGCAUGAUGCGGCAAAGCCGCGUGCGGGAUGUCAGCCUGCGCGUUGUAUUCCGCUUUCGCCUGUGACGAAGCGUGAAUGACGGUAAUGGGUAAAGAAGCACCGGCUAACUACGUG